rnacentral:rRNA from 1 species
AUUGAACGCUGGCGGCAUGCUUUACACAUGCAAGUCGAACGGCAGCGCGGGCUUCGGCCUGGCGGCGAGUGGCGAACGGGUGAGUAAUGCAUCGGAACGUGCCCAGUAGUGGGGGAUAGCCCGGCGAAAGCCGGAUUAAUACCCCAUACGCCCUGAGGGUGAAAGCGGGGGACCGAAAGGCCUCCCGCUCUUGGACCGGCCGAUGUCGGAUUAGCUAGUUGGUGGGGUAAAGGCUUACCAAGGCGACGAUCCGUAGCUGGUCUGAGAGGACGACCAGCCACACUGGGACUGAGACACGGCCCAGACUCCUACGGGAGGCAGCAGUGGGGAAUUUUGGACAAUGGGGGCAACCCUGAUCCAGCCAUGCCGCGUGCGGGAAGAAGGCCUUCGGGUUGUAAACCGCUUUUGUUCGGGAAGAAAUCCUCUGGGCUAAUACCCCGGGGGGAUGACGGUACCGGAAGAAUAAGCACCGGCUAACUACGUG